UGGAUGCUUAAAAAAAAUUCAGUGUCUCCUUUCAAUGGAGAUAGCUGGGGGAAAAAAGUAUCCUAUAGUAACAAAGGAGCUUUCUGUUCAACUCUGGAUAGUGUCACAGAGCUGAAUCGUUCCACUUCUGACAAAU